rnacentral:rRNA from 1 species
GAUGAACGCUGGCGGCGUGCCUAAUACAUGCAAGUCGAGCGAACAGAUGAGGAGCUUGCUCCUCUGACGUUAGCGGCGGACGGGUGAGUAACACGUGGAUAACCUACCUAUAAGACUGGGAUAACUUCGGGAAACCGGAGCUAAUACCGGAUAAUAUAUUGAACCGCAUGGUUCAAUAGUGAAAGACGGUUUUGCUGUCACUUAUAGAUGGAUCCGCGCCGCAUUAGCUAGUUGGUAAGGUAACGGCUUACCAAGGCAACGAUGCGUAGCCGACCUGAGAGGGUGAUCGGCCACCAUGGAACUGAGAAACGGUCCAGACUCCUACGGGAGGCAGCAGUAGGGAAUCUUCCGCAAUGGGCGAAAGCCUGACGGAGCAACGGCGCGUGAGUUAUGAAGGUCUUCGGAUCGUAAAACUCUGUUAUUAGGGAAGAACAAAUGUGUAAGUAACUAUGCACGUCUUGACGGUACCUAAUCAGAAAGCCACGGCUAACUACGUG